rnacentral:rRNA from 1 species
GAUGAACGCUGGCGGCGUGCCUAAUACAUGCCAGUCGAGCGAACAGACGAGGAGCUUGCUCCUCUGACGUUAGCGGCGGACGGGUGAGUAACACGUGGAUAACCUACCUAUAAGACUGGGAUAACUUCGGGAAACCGGAGCUAAUACCGGAUAAUAUAUUGAACCGCAUGGUUCAAUAGUGAAAGACGGUUUUGCUGUCACUUAUAGAUGGAUCCGCGCCGCAUUAGCUAGUUGGUAAGGUAACGGCUUACCAAGGCAACGAUGCGUAGCCGACCUGAGAGGGUGAUCGACCACACUGGAACUGAGACACGGUCCAGACUCCUACGGGAGGCAGCAGUAGGGAAUCUUCCGCAAUGGGCGAAAGCCUGACGGAGCAGCGCCGCGUGAGUGAUGAAGGUCUUCGGAUCGUAAAACUCUGUUAUUAGGGAAGAACAAAUGUGUAAGUAACUAUGCACGUCUUGACGGUACCUAAUCAGAAAGCCACGGCUAACUACGUG